rnacentral:rRNA from 1 species
ACGCCGCGUGAGCGAUGAAGGCCUUCGGGUCGUAAAGCUCUGUUGUUAGGGAAGAACAAGUCCCGAGUAACUAUCGGCACCUUGACGGUACCUAACCAGAAAGCCACGGCUAACUACGUGCCAGCAGCCGCGGUAAU